rnacentral:misc_RNA from 1 species
CAAUUCCUAUGAAAGCAACGUUCUUCAUAACUUAUAUUAUGGUUGAUGGGUGGGCUGGAGUUGCUGGGGAAAUACUAAGAUUGAAACCCUUAAUAAUCUAUCACUUGAAAAACUUUUUCUUGGUGAAGACUGAAAAGGAUAGAGAAGAGGCAAUGGAUCCAGGAACCAUUGGCUUCAACACAGGCGAACCACAAAUACAACUUUAUUUCUUACUCGGCCUUGUUUAUGCAGUGCAACUAUAAUACGUCCAUGGACAU